rnacentral:rRNA from 1 species
UUCGCAAUGCCCGAAAGGGUGACGAAGCGACGCCGCGUGGGUGAGGAAGGCCUUCGGGUUGUAAAGCCCUGUCAGGAGUUAAGAAAUGUAAGUGCGCUAAUAUCGCAUUUAUUUGACGAAGGCUCCAAAGGAAGUCACGGCUAACUCUGUGCCAGCAGCCGCGGUAAUACAGAGGUGGCAAGCGUUGUUCGGAAUUAUUGGGCGUAAAGAGCACGUAGGUGGGUUUGUAAGUCAGAUGUGAAAGCCUUCUGUUCAACGGAAGAAUUGCAUCUGAAACUGCGAGUCUUGAGUGUAGGAGGGGAGAAUGGAGCUUCUGGUGGAGCGGUGAAAUGCGUAGAUAUCAGAAGGAACGCCGGCGACGAAAGCGAUUCUCUGGCCUAUUACUGACACUCAGUGUGCGAAAGCUAGGGGAGCAAACGGGAUUAGAUACCCCGGUAGUCCUAGCCGUAAACGAUGGGCACUAAGUAGAGGGGUUUU